ensembl:lncRNA
GUUCCAAUCCCUGUUGAUAACUGGCUGAGAGCGAAGCAGCUCCUGGUACAGACUGUGACACUUCAGAGUCCCUGCCUGUGUCAUUCUGCAUCUGGGGAAACUCAGGGAGGUUGUCUUGUGCCUAGACCUGCCAACAACGGCUGUCUCAGUUUGCUCAGGCUACUGUAACAAAAUACCAUAAACUGGAUGUCUGCUAAACAGAAACCUCUUUCUCAAAGUUCUGGAGGCUGAAAGUCCAAGACUAAGCUGACUGCGUGUUCUGCAGUGUUUUGGAAGUAUGGCAAACUUGGAAUCACUCAGAGCUACACGUCCCAGAGAUGGAAGAGAAGGAAGAUAACUCUGUAUCUCCAUACACUCGGGGCUGCUGCAGAAUCUGAUUGACAUGAUCUAACCAGGCAGAGGUGACUCAGGUUCAAUCUCUGACUUGGGAAGAUCCUCUGGAGAAGUAUUUUUGCCUGGAGAAUUCCCAUGAACAGAGGAGCCUGGAAAGCUACAGUCCAUGGGGUUGCACAGAGUAGGACACGACUGAGCGACUAAGCAUGCAUCCUCUUUUACAAUAAUAUAUCUAUUUCUGUUUACUUGGACAACAAUGAGAUUUUAGAUUUCUUAUGCGGAAAAGCUUAGAAUAUAUAAAAUAUAUAUUUAAACUUUAGAAAUAAAAUCAACCUGAUCUAUUCACAUAUAUAUGCAAAUAUAUAUAUUCAAAAGCUAUAGGUAUCCAAUAAAAGUUAUUUGAAAAAUUGGCCAUGGGUUAUUUUUUAGUCUAUACAUAAAAUAAUAAAGUCUAUUUUAAAAAUUUCUAUUGGAGUAUAUUUGAUUUAACUCUAUGCAGUACUCUGUAAUGGGAAAAGAAUCUAAUACAGUACCUGUUUACAUUUUUUUCUUAAAAUUAUUAUCUCAGGAUGUAAUAAUACACUAGUAUUACAAGUGAAUAGUUUUCAAUGAAAUUAGAAAAAAAUAAUUUGUCAACUGUGGUAGUGCCCUGUCCCACCAAAGAUGUUCAUGUCUUAAUCCCUGAAAUCUGUGGACAUGUUACUUUACACCAUAAGAGAAACUUUGCAAAGUAACUAAAGUUGAGGAUUAUGAGAUAGGGAAAACUAUAUCCUGAAUUAUCUGGGUGCUGUUGUUGUUCAGCUGCCCAGUCAUGUCCUACUCUUUGUGACCCCAG